AGGACCUCUAUUAGGUAGGAGUUAAGCCUAUGCUUGUAUCUUACUGAUUCAACUAGAUUUUAACACUGGUUUAAUUAAGUAUCAAAUCCUUUCUGUCAAUGGAUGGAAUCGCAGAGGACCACAUAGCAGUAACAGUAUGAUCCCCUGACUGACAGCCCUGUUCAUACAGCAACAUCUUGUCUCAGGCGACUUCAAGAAGUGCAUUUGUACAUUUCUGCUGAAUUAAAUUGGAAUUCUGCACCCUUGACAUCCUCCUACCCUCCUGGUCUCUGCGGAAGGAGACAGCAACCUGCGCAGCACAACAAAACUGUGAGUACAGGUCUAUUUAUUUUUAUUUUCAGUCUGAAAAGCAAAUCG
rnacentral:lncRNA from 1 species